AUUGCCUUUACUUUGAGCACCUGCUGUGUGCCAGGCCUCAGGCAUUUGGCACCUGGACACCUUAAUUCACAGAAAAUAACAGUAACAAUAAUAGCUGCUACUUAAUAUCCACUUACUGACUGCCAGGCCAUAAGCUAAAUGCUUCAUGAAAUCCUCCAAAUAACACUGGGUGAGGUCCUAGUUUUAUUCUGAAUUACAGAUGGGGAAACUGAGGCUCAGCGUGGUUAACCACUUGCCCAAAGUCACAGAAGAUUCACAGCAAGUUUGUCUGACUCCUGCACACACUGCUCCCUGCGGUGGAGUAAGGAGAGGGGCGGCAGCCAGGGGUGGAGGGGGAAUGUCCAGUUGGUCAGCUGGUCAUUGAGCACGGUCUGUGAUGGCCUCAGCCUUGACCCAUGGCCUCAAACAACCUGAACCCGGUAGGUUCGGGUGCUCACUAAACCCACGCCCAAGCCCAAGUCAUCAAGGGGAUCCGAGAGCUCCCAGGGUGCUCGUGGGGCACCCAACAGCAUUCCUGGUAUGUGAACUAAAAUAUUGAUACAUUGAAUCAAACUGACUAUAAUACAGGGAGGCCAUGCUGGGACAGAGGAGGAGGCCAGAGCAGAGGGACCUGGAGAAGGAAGUGCAGCCGGGAGGGCAGAGGUCAGCCUCCACAGAUGGGCUGGCCUGAGUUUCAGCCCUGCCCCUGCCCCUUCACUGCUGUGUCAUCUUGGGAAUGUUAAUUGACUUCUCUGAGCCUUAGUUUCUUCUGCAAAGUGAAGAUAAUAAUAACUUGGCUCUCAGUGGAUUGUUGUGAGGAUCAAAUGAGAUAAUGCACGUUAAAGCGCUUAGCACAGUCCCUGGCAAAAAAGCCCUCCUCCUGUGGGGAAAGCACGGCAGACUUCAGGCAAUGGUGGUUGGACAUUUGCCCUGCCCCUUAUUAUAUGGUCAUGUCCACCCCCCUCACUUCAGUGGGCCUCCGUUUCCUCACGGGGUUGUUAAAAUGCAUUAAUCAUUAAAAUUAUUGUUUGCCUGGCA
rnacentral:lncRNA from 1 species